CUAUCUAUCUAUGCUUGUCAUGGGUUGGGAGUGUGUACGUACUUUUAUCCUUAUUUAAGACAAACCAUAUAUAUUCACUUUGCUUCAUCACCUAGCUUAUAUCAAAAAAAAAAAAAAAACCUAGCUUAUCACACCUUCUUCGUUUCCUUGUUUCUCUACCGAGCCACCCACCAAGUUAUCCCCUAGCUUAUAUCAAAAAAAAAAAAAAAACCUAGCUUAUCACACCUUCUUCGUUUCCUUGUUUCUCUACCGAGCCAGCCACCAAGUUAACUCAGCUCAACAGCAACCAACAUCCAUGGCAAAAACAACAACUACACCCACCAUGAAAAAGCUUCCAUGGCAUGUGCGCAUCUCCCUCUUCCUCCUCUCCGCCCUCUCUGACGCCACUCACCGCUACAACGGCACCAUCAACCGCCGCAUCUUCAACCUCAUAGACCGCAAGGUUCCCCCAGAAUCCAAACCAGUCGACGGAGUCUCCUCCUCCGAUGUCACCGUGGACCCCAACCAACCGGGACCUCUGGUUCCGCAUCUUUACCCCCUCUGCCACCUCCUCCACCGUGUCCCUUCCCCUCGUCAUCUACUUCCACGGCGGAGGUUUCUCCUUCAUGUCUCCGUCUUCAACCCCAUACGCCACCGUUUGCCGCCAGUUCGCGAACCGAAUCUGAAAUCUGGCUCAAGAAGGUUCCAAUUAUCCCGGUGGGAAGAACCGAUUGGCAUUGGAGGGUUUUUUUGCCAAUCGGGUCAAACCGGGAUCAUGAAGCGGUUAAUGUGAGCGGGCCGAAUGCUGAGGAUAUUUCGGGUUUGGAUUACCCGAAAACACUUGUGGUUGUGGCCGGAUUCGAUCCUUUACAUGAUUGGCAGGUGAAGUAUUAUGAGUGGUUAAGGAAAUCAGGGAAGGAGGCACAACUAAUUGAAUAUCCAAACACAUUUCAUUGUUUUUUUGUUUUUCCGGAUUUGCCCGAUUCUUCUCAUUGGAUUUCUCAGGUCAAGGAAUUCAUAAGCAAGCAAAUUUCUAGUGAAACUUAAGGAGGGAAGGGGAUAAAAGUGAGAAAGGCUAACAACAUACUCUUAUAACACACAUAUUGUGCUUUGUUUUAUUUUUUAAAAAUCUAACACAUUUCUCUCACAUUUUAGAAAAUGUGUUGAUAUAUAUAUAUAUAUACACUGACUCAAUAGAAGUUACCCAUAACAAAUACAAAAAUGGAGAAAUCAUUUACUCAAAGGUAAAGAUCCUCAAAAAAUUAUUUUGAUUACAUGGAUGCAUGUGACUACUUUCUAUAUCUCCGACCAUU
rnacentral:lncRNA from 1 species